UACGUAGGGUGCGAGCGUUAAUCGGAAUUACUGGGCGUAAAGAGCGCGCAGGCGGCUGGCCAAGUCCGAUGUGAAAGCUUCCGGCUUAACUGGAAAAUUGCAUCGGAAACUGGUCGGCUUGAAGGUGGGAGAGGGUAGCGGAAUUCCCGGUGUAGUGGUGAAAUGCGUAGAUAUCGGGAGGAACACCAGUGGCGAAGGCGGCUACCUGGCCCAUUCUUGACGCUGAGGCGCGAAAGCUAGGGGAGCGAACGGG
rnacentral:rRNA from 1 species